GCUCAGUAACACGUGGAUGAUCUGCCCUAAGGUGGAGGAUAACCUCGGGAAACUGAGAAUAAUACUCCAUAGGUCUAGGAUGCUGGAAUGCACUUAGGCUGAAAACUUCGGUGCCUUAGGAUGAGUCUGCGGACUAUCAGGUUGUAGUCAGGGUAAAGACCUGACUAGCCUACGACGGAUACGGGUUGUGAGAGCAAUAACCCGGAGAUGAUGUCUGAGACACGAUAUCAGGCCCUACGGGGCGCAGUAGGCGCGAAAACUUCGCACUGCGCGAAAGCGCGACGAGGGAAUCCCAAGUGUAUGCACGUAAGUGUAUACUGUUUCUCUGUCUAAAAAGCAGAGAGAGUAAGAGCUGGGUAAGACGGGUGCCAGCCGCCGCGGUAAUACCUGCAGCUCGAGUGGUGAUCGUUAUUAUUGGGCCUAAAACGUCCGUAGCCGGUCUUCUAAAUGCCUGGGUAAAUCGUAUGGCUUAACCAUACGAAUUCUGGGUAGACUGUUAGACUUGAGACCGGGAGAGGCUAGAGGUACUCCUGGGGUAGAGGUGAAAUUCUGUAAUCCUAGGGGGACGACCAGUGGCGAAGGCGUCUAGCUAGAACGGGUCUGACGGUGAGGGACGAAGCCCUGGGGCGCAAACGGGAUUAGAUACCCGGGUAGUCCUAGCCGUAAACGAUACUCGCUAGGUGUCGGCCACGGUGCGACCGUGGUCGGUGCCGUAGGGAAGCCGUGAAGCGAGCCACCUGGGAAGUACGGCCGCAAGGCUGAAACUUAAAGGAAUUGGCGGGGGAGCACCACAACGGGUGGAGCUUGCGGUUUAAUUGGAUUCAACGCCGGAGAUCUUACCGGGACCGACAGCAAUAUGAAGGCCAGGCUGAAGACUUUGCCGGAUUAGCUGAGAGGUGGUGCAUGGCCGUCGUCAGUUCGUACUGUGAAGCAUCCUGUUAAGUCAGGCAACGAGCGAGACCCACGCCCACAGUUGCCAGCGUACUCUCCGGAGUGACGGGUACACUGUGGGGACCGCCGCUGCUAAACCGGAGGAAGGAUUGGGCAACGGGUAGGUCAGGAUGCUCCGAAUAUCCCGGGCUACACGCGAGCUACAAUGGGUGGUACAAUGGGGAUCUACCCCGAAAGGGGUGGGGAAUCUCCCAAACCAAUCUUAAGCCCGGAUUUAGGGCUGCAACUCCCCCUCUAGAAACUGGGGAUCCGGAAAAAACCCGUUUCAACAAGACCCGGGGAAUACGUCCUUGUCCUUG
rnacentral:rRNA from 1 species